ACUCUGAGUACCGCUUGCAUGGGCUGUCAAACGCCCUGGUACUCGAGUAACUUUCACACACUCUGAAUGUAAUGGAAUGUCUAUUGUACAAUGUACAACAAAAAACAACUUUCAACAACGGAUCUCUUGGCUCUCGCAUCGAUGAAGAACGCAGCGAAAUGCGAUAAGUAAUGUGAAUUGCAGAAUUCAGUGAAUCAUCGAAUCUUUGAACGCACCUUGCACCCUUUGGUAUUCCGAAGGGUACACCCGUUUGAGUGUCAUUGUAAUCUCACUACAACCGCUUUUUUGUGGUUGCAUGUGGACUUGGAUGUUGCCGUGUCACAAACGGCUCGUCUGAAAUGCCUGAGUGUACCCCUGCUUUGCGGCGUAUUCGGUGUGAUAAAUCUUCACCGGAGUUGACCCUCAGGGUCACGUCUGCUUGACAUGGCUCUAUGCUUCCAAUCGUCCUGACAAGACAAUCUUUGACAAUUUGACCUCAAAUCGGGUGGGACUACCCGCUGAACUUAAGCAUAUCAAUAAGC
rnacentral:rRNA from 1 species